rnacentral:rRNA from 1 species
CCUGACGACCAUAGCAAGUUGGUCCCUCCUUCCCAUCUCGAACAGGACAGUGAAACGACUUCGCGCCGAUGAUAGUGUACAUCCGUAUGUGAAAGUAGGUCAUCGUCAGAC